rnacentral:misc_RNA from 1 species
GAUGAAGAACGCAGUGAAAUGCGAUAAGUAAUGUGAAUUGCAGAAUUCAGUGAAUCAUCGAAUCUUUGAACGCACAUUGCGCCCCCUGGUAUUCCGGGGGGCAUGCCUGUUCGAGCGUCAUUUCACCACUCAAGCCUCGCUUGGUAUUGGGCAACGCGGUCCGCCGCGUGCCUCAAAUCGACCGGCUGGGUCUUCUGUCCCCUAAGCGUUGUGGAAACUAUUCGCUAAAGGGUGUUCGGGAGGCUACGCCGUAAAACAACCCCAUUUCUAAGGUUGACCUCGGAUCAGGUAGGGAUACCCGCUGAACUUAAGCAUAUCAAUAAGCGGAAGA